UUUGCAAGUUCGAACGCACAGCGAAAGGUGCUUGCACCUUAUCAAGUGAGGGCGAACGGGUGAGUAACACGUGGACAACCUGCCUCAAGGCUGGGGAUAACAUUUGGAAACAGAUGCUAAUACCGAAUAAAACUUAGUGUCGCAUGACACAAAGUUAAAAGGCGCUUCGGCGUCACCUAGAGAUGGAUCCGCGGUGCAUUAGUUAGUUGGUGGGGUAAAGGCCUACCAAGACAAUGAUGCAUAGCCGAGUUGAGAGACUGAUCGGCCACAUUGGGACUGAGACACGGCCCAAACUCCUACGGGAGGCUGCAGUAGGGAAUCUUCCACAAUGGGCGAAAGCCUGAUGGAGCAACGCCGCGUGUGUGAUGAAGGCUUUCGGGUCGUAAAGCACUGUUGUAUGGGAAGAACAGCUAGAAUAGGAAAUGAUUUUAGUUUGACGGUACCAUACCAGAAAGGGACGGCUAAAUACGUGCCAGCAGCCGCGGUAAUACGUAUGUCCCGAGCGUUAUCCGGAUUUAUUGGGCGUAAAGCGAGCGCAGACGGUUUAUUAAGUCUGAUGUGAAAGCCCGGAGCUCAACUCCGGAAUGGCAUUGGAAACUGGUUAACUUGAGUGCAGUAGAGGUAAGUGGAACUCCAUGUGUAGCGGUGGAAUGCGUAGAUAUAUGGAAGAACACCAGUGGCGAAGGCGGCUUACUGGACUGCAACUGACGUUGAGGCUCGAAAGUGUGGGUAGCAAACAGGAUUAGAUACCCUGGUAGUCCACACCGUAAACGAUGAACACUAGGUGUUAGGAGGUUUCCGCCUCUUAGUGCCGAAGCUAACGCAUUAAGUGUUCCGCCUGGGGAGUACAACCGCAAGGUUGAAACUCAAAGGAAUUGACGGGGAACCCGCACAAGCGGUGGAGCGUGGUUUAAUUCGAAACAACGCGAAAACCUUACCAGGUCUUGACAUCCUUUGAAUUUUAGAAA
rnacentral:rRNA from 1 species